AGUGAACGCUGGCGGCGUGCUUAACACAUGCAAGUCGAACGAGAACGGAUUAUAGCUUGCUAUAAUUGUCAGCUAAGUGGCACACGGGUGAGUAAUGUAUAGGUAAUAUGCCUCUUACUAAGGGAUAACAACUGGAAACGUUUGCUAAUACCUUAUACUCCUUAUUAACAGAAGUUAAUAAGGGAAAGAUUUAUUGGUAAGAGAUUAGCCUGUAUUGUAUCAGUUAGUUGGUGGGGUAAUGGCUUACCAAGACUAUGACACAUAACUGGUUUGAGAGGAUGAUCAGUCACACUGGAACUGAGACACGGUCCAGACUCCUACGGGAGGCAGCAGUGGGGAAUAUUGCACAAUGGACGAAAGUCUGAUGCAGCAACGCCGCGUGGAGGAUGACACAUUUCGGUGCGUAAACUCCUUUUAUAUGAGAAGAUAAUGACGGUAUUAUAUGAAUAAGCACCGGCUAACUCCGUGCCAGCCGCCGCCGUAACAC
rnacentral:rRNA from 1 species